UGAGUCUGGACUGGAUUAGCGCUGAAAGCAUCUAAGUGCGAAGCCAGCCGCAAGAUGAGAACUCCUCAUAAGGGUCGUCAUAGACGAUGACGUUGAUAGGGUGUAGGUGUAAAGACGGUGACGUCAAAGCCGAGCACUACUAAUUGCCCGAAACUUUCUUC
rnacentral:rRNA from 1 species